rnacentral:misc_RNA from 1 species
UGAAAAUGAAACUUUAUAAUGUGUUGCUUUGUUUAUUGUUAAAAACAGUUAUAUACUAUUAACUAACAAUUCUCAGAUCGCACGUCAAUCUUAUAGAUCAUACUAAGAAAACACAUAGAGGUUCAUAGAGGUUCAUAGAGGUUCACAAGCUUCUUUACCUAUUGUUCUGAAGCCUUUCAUCAUUGACAUGUCUGAACGUAUGCGUAUUAGCGCAUAAGGAGAAACUCAACAUACCAGUACCAGAAAACCAGACGAAAAAGAUAACUCCUGGGACUGAGGAAAGUAAAUUCGCUGUACAUUGAAGCAAUACUCAAGUCAUCUGCUUAUAGAUCGAGAUGAAUGGCUUCUUGGAGUGAGUCGAUCCCUCUUCAGCAUGGCUUCAAAGGUCCGGAGACAUUUAAGUGGGCUAUUCCAUCUACUCUUAUGAGCAAUGCGGUUGUUUAUGUCAUCCAGCCUCCUUAUUAUAUCCCUGAAUGUUGGUCUUCUAAAUGGCUCCUCACUCCAACAUUCCUCUAUUAGCUCCUUUAAUCCAUGCAAAUAACGUUUUGCAGGAGCUCUAAAUGGUGGUCGCUCAUUUGCAGCAUAUGCUUUAGGAACUUCAUUAUCCGGCCUUGUUGAAAAUGGUGGACAGCCUUCAAUCAUCUCUUGUAAUAUCAAAGCAAAAGAAAACACAUCAACUUUAGUGUCAUAUUCUUCAUUUCUGUAGACCUCUGGAGCCACAUAUCGCCAGGAAGUGUCUUGACAUGGUCUGUCUUCCUUAACUGUUUUUGCAACUUUGAGAAGCUUGCUGACUCCAAAGUCUGCAACUUUCAGAUGCCCAGAAUCAUCCCGCAGUAUAUUUCUGUUAUCUUACUCGCAAAUAAGAAACUUUCAAAGAGGUCUAGCCAAUAUGAUAUCUAUAUCGCAUAUUUUUCAUUUACAACUGCAAUGAAAUUAAUAUAACAAACAGAAGUACCACAGCAAUGCGUAUAGAGAAAACAUACGAAGGCUCAAGAUCUCGGUGAAUUAUUGCUUCAGGUUUAUGCUCAUGCAAGUAGUUCAUUCCCCUAGCAAUAUCAAGAGAGAAUCUCAAAGCUCUGGAUGGAGAAAGACGCCCUUUCUUCUGGAGAUAAAUUGCCAAGUCACCUUUUGGAUGAUGCUCUAACACAAUCAUCAUGGGAAUAUUUUGGGUAACAGCUCCAACAAACUGAACCACAUUAGGAUGUCUGACCUUCUCUAAUAAUGUUAGCUCAUGUUUGAAAGCAUUUAUGCUCUCAGGAUCUGAAUAGCUGUCCUUAUCAAGUAUCUUUACAGUAACCUUGGUGCCAUUCCAUUUGGCCACUUGAUAUGAUCCCUUCGAGAUGCCAUCAGACUUCCGAACCUGCAGCUCUAAUGGAUUAAGCUCAUACUCUGGGACUUCUCGAGGAUUAGCAACAGCCAUUGGGGUCUUCCUGGUUUUCGGGAUUUGGGCUCCUCGAGCCUUCAAAACAUUGUAAAUUUCAACAUUUCCGUAGUACUUAGCAUCACCACAAGCCGUGCUCCCCCAGCGAUCACGAGCAUCGAUAUUAGCCUUUCUACUCAACAAAAGCUUAACAACCUCUAGAUGACCUUCACAAGCAGCAAUAUGCAAAGCAGUCCUCCCAUCCAAAUCAAUACUAUUAACAUCAAUUCCUUCAUUCAACAAAUCCUCAACGCCCUUCACAUCUCCUUUACUCGCCAUGAAAAGCAGUUGCAUCGUAGUAUCGAGAUUCUCCGGAACCGUAAACUUCUCAUCAUGGACAGGGCUCCUCCGAAUAGGAUCUAAUGACGACUGCCUCCCAAAGCUAAAUCUCAUAUUAUUCCUCCUGGGAUCGAGAGACUUCUGCCGAGAGAACUGCCGGCUAAAGGAUCUCCUCAGUGACCCGGUCGAGAACUGGCGGGAGAUUCCUCGCCUCAACUGCUUCGCUAUUCCUUCCAUUAAUUUGAUUGAUUUUAAUUAUAUUCUUAUGAUCUUUCCCCGUUCUUUCAAUUCGAGCAAAAAUCGAAAUUCUUUUUCCCUCUUGUUAUUAUUAAUUAUCGGAUAAAUCUUGUUUCCGAUUCGAAAUCGUUACAUACCAGCAGAUUGUUGUUUGCUCGAUGGAUCGAGAGCGUAUCUGGAGGAGGAUUGAGCUCUCGAUACCGAGCGAUGGAAGGAGAGAAAGAGGAAAGGAAAGGAAAAGGGAAAAAGAAAAGUGUUGUUUGGCUUCUAAGAAUGGAUGAAUCAUGAAUGGAUAGGCUUUUAGAUCCGAGCGAGACGCAAGGAAAAGAGCGAGGAAGAGAGAGAGAGACAGUAUUUUUUUUUUUUUUUU